GGAGACUACAUAAGACUUUGACAGUUGGCGGGAAACCAUCAUCAACUGGAGAGAUGCCGGUAGAGGAAUGUCUGCGACUAAGUCAAGGGCCACUGGAUAAGGGUUGUUGAUGGCAAAACAGGUUGGAGACUACAUAAGACUUUGACAGUUGGCGGGAAACCAUCAUCAACUGGAGAGAUGCCGGUAAAAAGAUGGCCAUAAAACAGUGACCGCUGAUUCGCAUUGAGUUCUUUCUUACAUAUUGGAUGACCUAUGUUUUUUAUUGUUUAAAUCAUUGCGGCUUGGAAUGCUCUUUAAGAAAAGGUAUGGUUAUGGGGGUGUCUACGCGCAAAAGUUUGACUUUAUUUUUUGUUAAAGUUAUUGAUUUUACAUUGAAUUUGUGCAGGAAAUCUUUUGGUAUGUUGUGACCU